rnacentral:rRNA from 1 species
AUGAACGCUGGCGGCGUGCCUAAUACAUGCAAGUCGAGCGAACGGACGAGAAGCUUGCUUCUCUGAUGUUAGCGGCGGACGGGUGAGUAACACGUGGAUAACCUACCUAUAAGACUGGGAUAACUUCGGGAAACCGGAGCUAAUACCGGAUAAUAUUUUGAACCGCAUGGUUCAAAAGUGAAAGACGGUCUUGCUGUCACUUAUAGGUGGAUCCGCGCUGCAUUAGCUAGUUGGUAAGGUAACGGCUUACCAAGGCAACGAUGCAUAGCCGACCUGAGAGGGUGAUCGGCCACACUGGAACUGAGACACGGUCCAGACUCCUACGGGAGGCAGCAGUAGGGAAUCUUCCGCAAUGGGCGAAAGCCUGACGGAGCAACGCCGCGUGAGUGAUGAAGGUCUUCGGAUCGUAAAACUCUGUUAUUGGGGAAGAACAUAUGUGUAAGUAACUGUGCACAUCUUGACGGUACCUAAUCAGAAAGCCACGGCUAACUACGUG